AAACUAAUUUAUUUUGACGGCAUUUAAUCUAAUUAGAGGAAUUUGUCUUAUAAUCGAUAAACCACGUUAAAUUUCACUUUAAUUUAAAACCUAUAUACCGCCAUCUUAAGAAUCAAUUUCAAUAUACUUCUCCAAAAACAAAUAAAAAAUUAGGUCAAGGUGUAAUUUAUAUUAAAGAACAAGAUGAAUUACAUUAAACAUAAUUUAAAGAUUAUAUAUAGAUAUAUUUAUAUAAAUAAGAAUUUAAAAACAAUAUUGAAACAAUAUUACAAUAUGAUAAAGAUAAUAAAUGUGUACACAUCGCCC
rnacentral:rRNA from 1 species